GGGAAUCUAGCAUAAUAGGUUAAUGUCCUAAAUUGUCAAUUUAGUUUAUGCCAGUUCGAGCCUGGUGGUUCUCG
rnacentral:tRNA from 1 species